ensembl:lncRNA
UUUUUAUACAUCUUUCUGCGUUAUCAGUUCAACACCUGCAGCAAUCAGGGCUUUACAGCCUUCCAUUCUUGCUCUUAUGAUCCCUUGUCUGCACAUUUGAGUUAGAAAGAUUGAGUUAAAUGCACAAAAUUACAUUUGUGCACAACUUUGUAUUUUGAGUGUAACAGUAGUGGGAUAAGGAGAGUCAGAAGGCAGAACUCAUGAUGAGUCAUUCAGGCUGAAUAAACUGGAUUUCGAGAUCUUAUCUCUCUAAUAUCAGCUGAAAUUGACUUAUGUAUUUAGGUUUGUUUCUGCAAACUUCAACAGUUUCAAAUAAACUUCAUAAUGUGAUAAAGCAGAAUCCGAUGAUGGUUGGGGUAUCAUGGUCUCAGUUUGCUUAGGUUUUGAGGUAUGGAUUCUAAUUUUAUUUUUGUGGUAGUUUUGGCAUUUGUCUUAGGAAAACAUAAAAGCACUCAUUAACUUUACGUAUUCUUUCCUUAGAGAACCAGAUUAGUCACUCUUAUUUGUGCCAGGAAUCAUAGAAUCAUUGGAGUUGGAAGAGACCUCUGGAGAUUGUUCAGUCAACCUUCCUUCCUGUUCAAAGUGGGGUCACAGACGUUUGUCCACUCAGAUUUGAACAUUUCUGAGAAAAAAGGCUGCACAACUUUUCUUGGCAUCCUGUUCACAAUGAAGAGAGGGCCUACUAAUAGAUCUCAAAGCAAAAUGAAUCAGGCAACAGCUGGGGCUGUAUUCACCAAAUAAACUUAACUGUCAAAUGUGUCUGGGAGUGUUUCAUGAACAGUGGGAGACAGAGACUCUUUAGGAACCAAGGUCUAGUGAUGGUCAUCUGAAUUGGUAAGAAAAUAUGGAAUAUGAUUGAUCAAAUGAACUAAGUGUUCCAUGCAGAGAACUACUGAACUUCUUGUAAGUGUAGAAGUGGUGCUAUUUCUUCUCUAGCUUUAAGUGUGUGGGGAAAGAAGACGUUUCUAAACAAAGGGAAGAGGAAACUGUCUCAUAUUUAUUAAAUUGGUUUCCUAUCAGGAAGUAUGCAUUGAGAUUGUUUGGCAAGCAGGAGUACAUCACUUUGCAACUUUAACAGCUUGCCAACAUUGCAGGCAACACUAGCAGCAGCCUGUGUCCCGGACAGUUUGGAUUAUAAAUCGCAGUGCCUGCCUGCAGCCAGGGAGAAGGUUCUGUGGGGUUGGAAACUACUUGGUUUCCUUGGUGGUUUUUCUGUUUCUAGUGGGCAGGAGAGAGAGGGUAAGGAAAGCUGGAGGAGUGAAGAUAGUUACAGCGGUAAUAAACCUCUCUGCAUCCUAGUUGAAUAUCCUGUGAAUAUUUACCUAAAUAUUGAGCUUGUUCCAAGCCAGUUGCAAUGGAACCAGUCAUCUGCAAUCAAAUUGUAUCUGAAAGAUACUCUUUAAACCAUUGUCUGAGUGCACCAGCCUCCAGAAGUACAAAUGACAUUGCCCACACAAGCAUUCCAGAAGUUUUGUAUGCAGUCUUUUCUUGCUUACCAAAUGCAAAAUGUAUCUGUAUUCAUUUCACAAAAAUACUAAUCAUAUGUCUAAAACUUCUGUGGGGCCAAAUGUUGUGCAUUGGACUUCAGUUCUCAGUGAUCAGGUGCUUAUUUCUAACUCAUUUAAAAUAACAUUUGACAAGAACAGGGGUGAAACUGCAGUUAAGCGUAGAAAUGUUUUCUGUUUUGACUUUGUGUGAUAGCGAUGAAUGUGCUAUUAAAGUAGAUCAGCUAUUUUAAGGAAAAUAAAACUUCUGAAGUUUGAAGGAAAA